rnacentral:pre_miRNA from 1 species
UGAGAACUGAAUUCCAUAGAUGGUGACCCACUGAGUAGCCCAUCUAUGGCUUCAGUUCUUGUA